rnacentral:rRNA from 1 species
GGACGACGGCCUUUCGGGUUGUAAACCUUCUUUUAGCAGGGAAGAAGCGAAAAGUGACGGUACCUGCAGAAAAAGCGCCGGCUAACUACGUGCCAGCAGCCGCGGUAAUACGUAGGGCGCAAGCGUUAUCCGGAAUUAUUGGGCGUAAAGAGCUCGUAGGCGGUUUGUCGCGUCUGCUGUGAAAUCCCGAGGCUCAACCUCGGGUCUGCAGUGGGUACGGGCAGACUAGAGUGCGGUAGGGGAGAUUGGAAUUCCUGGUGUAGCGGUGGAAUGCGCAGAUAUCAGGAGGAACACCGAUGGCGAAGGCAGAUCUCUGGGCCGUAACUGACGCUGAGGAGCGAAAGGGUGGGGAGCAAACAGGCUUAGAUACCCUGGUAGUCCACCCCGUAAACGUUGGGAACUAGUUGUGGGGUCCAUUCCACGGAUUCCGUGACGCAGCUAACGCAUUAAGUUCCCCGCCUGGGGAGUACGGCCGCAAGGCUAAAACUCAAAGGAAUUGACGGGGACCCGCACAAGCGGCGGAGCAUGCGGAUUAAUUCGAUGCAACGCGAAGAACCUUACCAAGGCUUGACAUAUACGAGAACGGGCCAGAAAUGGUCAACUCUUUGGACACUCGUAAACAGGUGGUGCAUGGUUGUCGUCAGCUCGUGUCGUGAGAUGUUGGGUUAAGUCCCGCAACGAGCGCAACCCUCGUUCUAUGUUGCCAGCACGUAAUGGUGGGAACUCAUGGGAUACUGCCGGGGUCAACUCGGAGGAAGGUGGGGAUGACGUCAAAUCAUCAUGCCCCUUAUGUCUUGGGCUUCACGCAUGCUACAAUGGCCGGUACAAAGGGCUGCAAUACCGUAAGGUGGAGCGAAUCCCAAAAAGCCGGUCCCAGUUCGGAUUGAGGUCUGCAACUCGACCUCAUGAAGUCGGAGUCGCUAGUAAUCGCAGAUCAGCAACGCUGCGGUGAAUACGUUCCCGGGUCUUGUACACACCGCCCGUCAAGUCAUGAAAGUCGGUAACACCUGAAGCCGGUGGCCCAACCC